rnacentral:tRNA from 1 species
GGGAAGGUGGCUCAGUGGAAGAGCGCUUGCCUUGCAUGCAUGAAGCCCUGGGUUCGAUUCCUCAUCAGCACA